AGCGAACGUUGGCGGCGUGGAUAAGGCAUGCAAGUCGAGCGAGGCCCACUGGGGCAACUCAGUGGAGUCGAGCGGCGAACGGGGCAGUAAUGCCUGGCUAACGUACCCCCAGGACCGGGAUAACCCUGGGAAACUGGGGCUAAUACCGGGCGAUACGGGUGGGUCGCAUGACGCAUCCGUCAAAGGGUUGGUCACCGUGAGGUGGCCUUCCGCCUGGGGAUCGGGCCAGGUGGUAUUAGCUAGUUGGUAGGGUAAUGGCCUACCAAGGCGAAGAUGCCUAGCUGGUGUGAGAGCACGACCAGCGCCACUGGCACUGAGACACGGGCCAGACUCCUACGGGAGGCAGCAUG
rnacentral:rRNA from 1 species